rnacentral:rRNA from 1 species
AUCGGUAUGAUAAGUGAUUUAAUAAAUUGCGCGUCGCAAAACAUGAGGAACGUGGGAUGCGUUUUACGUCAGGUGUUUUCCAUGAAUCGUGUGACGUGACCAAAUAGUAUAUUCUACGCUCCUUCUGUUCCCUGGACUUCACUUCCCUGGCUUAUCAUACCG